GAGUGGCGAACGGGUGAGUAACACGUGGGUAACCUGCCCAUCAGAAGGGGAUAACACUUGGAAACAGGUGCUAAUACCGUAUAACACUAUUUUCCGCAUGGAAGAAAGUUGAAAGGCGCUUUUGCGUCACUGAUGGAUGGACCCGCGGUGCAUUAGCUAGUUGGUGAGGUAACGGCUCACCAAGGCCACGAUGCAUAGCCGACCUGAGAGGGUGAUCGGCCACACUGGGACUGAGACACGGCCCAGACUCCUACGGGAGGCAGCAGUAGGGAAUCUUCGGCAAUGGACGAAAGUCUGACCGAGCAACGCCGCGUGAGUGAAGAAGGUUUUCGGAUCGUAAAACUCUGUUGUUAGAGAAGAACAAGGAUGAGAGUAAAAUGUUCAUCCCUUGACGGUAUCUAACCAGAAAGCCACGGCUAACUACGUGCCAGCAGCCGCGGUAAUACGUAGGUGGCAAGCGUUGUCCGGAUUUAUUGGGCGUAAAGCGAGCGCAGGCGGUUUCUUAAGUCCGAUGUGAAAGCCCCCGGCUCAACCGGGGAGGGUCAUUGGAAACUGGGAGACUUGAGUGCAGAAGAGGAGAGUGGAAUUCCAUGUGUAGCGGUGAAAUGCGUAGAUAUAUGGAGGAACACCAGUGGCGAAGGCGGCUCUCUGGUCUGUAACUGACGCUGAGGCUCGAAAGCGUGGGGAGCGAACAGGAUUAGAUACCCUGGUAGUCCACGCCGUAAACGAUGAGUGCUAAGUGUUGGAGGGUUUCCGCCCUUCAGU
rnacentral:rRNA from 1 species